UACGUAGGGGCUAGCGUUAUCCGGAAUUACUGGGCGUAAAGGGUGCGUAGGUGGUUUCUUAAGUCAGAGGUGAAAGGCUACGGCUCAACCGUAGUAAGCCUUUGAAACUGGGAAACUUGAGUGCAGGAGAGGAGAGUGGAAUUCCUAGUGUAGCGGUGAAAUGCGUAGAUAUUAGGAGGAACACCGGUGGCGAAGGCGGCUUACUGGACGAUUACUGACGUUGAGGCUCGAAAGCGUGGGGAGCAAACAGGAUUAGAUACCCCGGUAGUCCCUGAGCGGGCUGGCAA
rnacentral:rRNA from 1 species